rnacentral:rRNA from 1 species
GUGUCAGCAGCCGCGGUAAUACGAAGGGGGCUAGCGUUGUUCGGAAUUACUGGGCGUAAAGGGCGCGCAGGCGGUCCUUCAAGUCAGGCGUGAAAGCCCCGGGCUCAACCUGGGAAUCGCGCUUGAGACUGAGGGACUUGAGUUCGGGAGAGGAGAGCGGAAUUCCCAGUGUAGAGGUGAAAUUCGUAGAUAUUGGGAAGAACACCGGUGGCGAAGGCGGCUCUCUGGACCGACACUGACGCUGAGGCGCGAAAGCGUGGGGAGCAAACAGGAUUAGAUACCCGCGUAGUCC